CCGGGGGCAGGUGCGCCGAGAGGCCGCCCGCCCGAGCGCCCCUACCCGGCCGGGCGAGCCCACCUCCGAUCCGCGCUUUACUUGGUCCUACGGCUGCAGCCGGUCUCUCCGCUCGGCGCCGCAGGGCCGAGUGCAGGAAGCUCCGCGGAGUGCGCUGCGCCACCAGGGACGCGCCAGUCCAGCCUCUGUGGUUGAAAGCGAGCUAAGGCAGCGGGAGACGAGCGCACGGGCAACACCAGGAGCAGCUGGCGGAGGAUCGGUGGCGCGGACUCUGCAGGCCGCUGUUGAGCCCCUGCUCUUGCCCUUUCUCCUCCUCGCUGUGGAUGGGCCCGCUGCACGUGGAGGGAAAAGGACGCGCGGCAGGAGAUUAGAAACGAAAGCGACCCUCUGCUAGAUGCCGAGGCUACUGGGCACCCGCCCCUGACGGCCGCUGACCCCAGAACCCUGGUCGUUUUGCGCCUUAGAGAAGUUUUCGAUCUCCAGCCUGGAGGCAGGUUUCUUGGGAGAGGCCACGACUGAACUCAAAGAGGAGCAGGACAGGGGCCCCCGUGGGACAGUGGGUCCACACGAGAACACGGUGCCUGAGAAGGACGGGGGCACCUGUGCGUAGCUAGUUUACCACCCCCUCCCCCCAAACACACCACCACCACCACGUUUCCGGGUUGGAGAAGUCUCUCUGUUUGGCGCAGUGCUGAUCUCUGGACAUGAGACUAUGAGCUGUCAGUUAGAUGAGGACCACUACAAGCAAGAGGCUGCACAGUGAUGCAGCUGCCGGUCCCAGAUCUUUCACCAUCUCAGACCAGGAACCAGGAAGUGAGUAAAGAAGUGUUUUGGAGAGGGUUCUCCAGCCCUAUCCCGUUCCUCAGCGAUGCUGGCCACCCCCUGCCUUUUCAGUCCUGCCAGCUAAGGACACCAUGAAGCAAAGAAGAGCCACCUCUGUUGUGCCCUUUCCAAAUUCCUGAUCCACAAAAUCCAUGAUAAAAUUAUUUUAUGCUGUUAAAGUUUGCAUGGCUUUCUAUGAAGCGAAAGAUAACCAGGAUACCCACUAACCAACUGUGCUUGAGAACGCUUACUUCUUACACUUUUGUUUUUUAAAUAAAUAA